UCAAAACACUGGUUCUCUCUCGAUCACCGAAGUUAAGCAACUUAGAGCCUAAUCAGCACUUAGGUGAGUGACCGCUUGGGAAUGGCAGGUGUUGAAA